rnacentral:lncRNA from 1 species
CAGGCUGCUCCAGGUCCCCUGGAAGCUCCAGAUCCAGAUCCCUGACUGGGGGUGUAGGUCAGGAGGAACGCGGGGCCUCAUUCUGGGACUCCCCCAACCUCCUCCUCUUCCACCAUCAGGAGGCUGAGAAUCCAGAGAAAGAUCUCUGACCACUAAAUCUGUGUGCAGCCUCUGAAGAGCCAAUCCAUUCAGGAUGGGAAACCACGCAGGCAAACGAGAAUUAAAUGCCGAGAAGGCCAGUACGGACAUCGCCCAGAGCAGCAACAUCCUGCGGAAAAGAGUGUCAGUGGCAUCUUUUGUUAUGCAGAGGAGAUGGAAUCCUCCCAGGUGACUGAUAGCUGAGAGGGAGGGAAACUAUCAGGAGAGCCAAGAAGAGAGAUGGGUUCCAGGAGGAGAAAGUUGUCCACAACAGGAAGAGCUGCCACAGGGCUCCCCUCUGCCUGGCUCCUGCAGACCCCAUCUUCACAGAAAGGAAAGCCAGAUCACUCAGAAAGUCACUUCCUUCCGGUCACCCAAACCCACACCUGGAUUGCUGUGACACGGCUGUCAUGCCAUUGAGCGCCAAAUUCCCUGGGAAAUUCUUCCUUUCUGAUCUGACUGCAGUGUGCUGGCAAUUGACAGAUCUGUACGUGUAAAAUUUCUACUUUAUAGAAUAGUGAAACUAACAGAGGAGAAUCUGAAAAAAAGAGAAACCUGGGUGAACUUUCACGGACAACCUCAGAGGACAACGAAGUGUUCGGAGAGGCAGAUGCGAACCAGAACAAUGGGACCUCCUCUCAGGACACAGCGGUGACUGACUCCAAGCGCACAGCGGACCCGAAGAAUGCCUGGCAGGAUGCCCACCCAGCUGACCCAGGGAGCCGCCCCCACUUGAUCCGCCUCUUUUCCC